rnacentral:rRNA from 1 species
AACGAACGCUAGCGGUAUGCUUUAUACAUGCAAGUCGAACGAGAAAGUACCUUCGGGUACGAGUAGAGUGGCGCACGGGUGAGUAACGCGUAGAUAACCUGCCCUAAGGUUCGGGGUAACUUUCUGAAAAGAAAGCUAAUACCGGGUAAUAAAGAGAGACAAGUGUCUUUUUUUUGAAAGGAUUUAUUUGCCAUAGGAUGGGUCUGCGUAACAUUAGCUAGUUGGUGAGGUAAAGGCUCACCAAGGCGACGAUGUUUAGCGGAUCUGAGAGGAUGAUCCCCAACACUGGGACUGAGACACGGCCCAGACUCCUACGGGAGGCAGCAGUGGGGAAUCUUGGACAAUGGGGGCAACCCUGAUCCAGCCAUGCCGCGUGAGUGAAGAAGGCCUUAGGGUCGUAAAGCUCUUUCGCCUGUGAAGAUAAUGACGGUAGCAGGUAAAGAAACCCCGGCUAACUCCGU